AGCAGUAGCCGCGGGAAUACGGAGGGUGCAAGCGUUAAUCGGAAUUACUGGGCGUAAAGCGCACGCAGGCGGUCUGACAAGUCAGAUGUGAAAUCCCCGGGCUUAACCUGGGAACUUCAUUUGAAACUGUCAGGCUGGAGUCUUGUAGAGGGGGGUGGAAUUCCAGGUGUAGCGGUGAAAUGCGUAGAGAUCUGGAGGAAUACCGGUGGCGAAGGCGGCCCCCUGGACAAAGACUGACGCUCAGGUGCGAAAGCGUGGGGAGCAAACAGGAUUAGAGACCCCAGUAGUCCCUGUCUCUUAUAA
rnacentral:rRNA from 1 species